rnacentral:lncRNA from 11 species
UUGCCAUGUCUGUCUUCACAGCUGGCACAGCUGUUGAUGGUACAGUUAUCUGGUAUGGAUGGUCAUUUGGCUUGGGCUGGGCCUCCUUUCCUUUCUUCCUUAUAACCGGUGGUCUUGCAUUUGCAUUUCAAAGUAUGACAACAGAAUGAACAUGCAGAAAAAUCUGUGCUUCCUUUCAAGAUCAUGACUUUUGGAGUUAAACAAGUACAAUCGAGAACAGACCCAGCAUGUAAGCUGAACUUGGAGCAAGCCAUCUAUAUAUAUAAAAGAGUGAUGGCAUCAUCUAUAUAUAUAAAAGAGUGAUGGCAUCACGGCGACCCACAGAACAACAAAAUUACAGGCCCCCCAACCUCAAAAUUUGACAACACAACCCAACAUCCACGCCUCUAGGUUGAUACAACAAAAAGAAAAGAAAAAUAAAAUCCUAAUUAGAGAGAGAGGAAUAAUUGCUUUUAUCCAA